rnacentral:pre_miRNA from 1 species
GUAUUACUCCCUCCGUUCCAAAUUACUCGUCAUAGAAAUGGAUAUAUCUAAAACUAAAAUACAUCUAGAUACAUCCAUACUUGCGACAAGUAAUUCGGAACGGAGGAAGUAUUUG